rnacentral:lncRNA from 1 species
AACAACUGAGAAGUCCAGCUUUUGAAUGCCAUUUGAUCGGUUUAUCCAUAGAUAGAGAUAUUCUCCAGAAUUGAAAACCCUAUGUCAGUGACUGGCGUUACAUCUUCAUAUGCGAGUCAUUGAAUACGUUCGUCAAAAUCCAAGUUAUUGAAUACGUUCGUCAAAAUCCAAGUUAAAUCCCAAGGUCAAGGCACGCCUCAAGGACAGGUUAAGUGGAAAAACAACAGGAGGAUCAAGUGAGAAAUCAGAACCAAGUGCAUCAGUUGAACUGAAUUUGUGUAUAUUUGAUGAAUUGGUUGUUAAAAGAAAAGAAGAUCUCUGGAUGGUGGAAUUCUUUGCACCUUGAUGCAAUUGACGUGGAGCUCGAAUAAGGGCAUCCACCCGACAGUAGAAAACGAGCAAGCACUGGAGAUGCUGAGGAUGGCACACAAACAAAAACAGUUAGACGUAAGACACAUAUAAUGUCUGUGAGUGAAAGACUUCUUAAAGGAUGCUUUUGCUGGUCAAACAUUUAUAAAGGAAAGAAAUUGCAAAGGUAGACGAACAUUAAGGGCACAAAAGAACGUCAUGAGAUGUCCGCCAUGCUCUAAUGACAUUUCUGAGUACCUUCAGAAUCCACAGGGUUCUGUUGAUUGUCAAAGGAUGCAAGGACUGCUGGGCAUUGGUUCAUCCUAUAGAAAUUUCUUCUCUAUGGGCAUGUUCAAUCUUUGUCCUGCGUGGAUGAUCAUUUGAGGUUACUUUGGGGUUAAAGGCGAACUUGACCAAAAGUAAAGUAUACGGGGUAGGGGUAGAAUUUGCAAACAUCAUCGGGUGUCAAAAGGGGGAGUUCCCGUUCGUAUAUCUUGGGUUACCGGUUGGAGCCAACAUGAAUCGUGUCGUGUGGCGAAUUGGAAAGGUGUGGUGGACAGAUUUAAUGCAAAACUAUCUUUAUGGAAAGCCCGUUGGCUGUCUUUCUCCGGCAGAAUCAUGCUUAUUAAGGCGGUGAUGGCUUCAAUGGCUAAUUAUUAUCUAUCCAUGUUUAAGGCCCCUAGCGGUGUGAUCAAAUCUCUAGAAGGCAUUCGGAGGAGAUUCCUUUGGGGUGGGUCAAGUCUUGGCAAAAAGAUCCGAUGGGUGGCGUGGGAUAAGAUUUUAAGGUCUAAGAAAGAAGGGGGGUUGGGGGUUGGCAGCAUUAAAGAGAUGAAUCUGGGCCUCCUCUCCAAGUGGUGGUGGAGAUAGAGGACGUGUGAUGAUCAGCUGUGGCGAAGAGUUAUCCGGGCCAUUCACGACAACGGGAGGAGCAACGAUUUAAUUCCGGUUAAGGCGGCUAUAUCCGGCGUGUGGAAGGGUAUAGUUAUGGUAAAUAAAGAAUUCAAAAAUUGCAGUGUGGACUUAAAUGACCAUUUCGUGGCCGAGGUGGACGACGGGAAAACAGUUAGGUUCUGGGUGAAUCGUUGGGUUAAUGGAGGCCGGCUCAGCAUGAGAUUCCCAGAUUUAUACCGGUUAUCGCAGUCUAAACAGGCCACAGUAGAAGAAUGUUACAGUGUUAGAGAUGGAGUGGCUCGAUGGGAGUUAAAAUGGAAAAGGGGGCUUAGCUCGGAUCAAGAACGGGCUCGGGAACAAAGGUUGCAGUCGGUUUUGAUACACCUUAGCAGGAGAGACAAAAAAGAUACCUGGUCGUGGCUAUCGGAUAAGAAAAAAACUGAUUUUCCUGUUAAAAUAGUUAGACAGGAGCUGGAAAAGAGUUCAGCGAAUACUUGUCAGAACAAUAUUUUUAACUGGAAUAGAAUUGCAGUGCCAAAAAUCAAUCAUUUCGUCUGGAGAGCAACGGAAAGUCGGAUUCCUACGGCUACGGCGUUGGCUAGGAGAAACGUGAACGUGGGAAACGAGCGGUGUCCAUUAUGUGGCAUAGCUGAGGAGGACGCACAUCAUCUUUUAGUUGCGUGCUCUUUUGCUCGGUCCGUUUGGUGGAGCGUUUUGGUUUGGGUUAAGCUUCCAAUCCCUAGGGCCUUUGAAUCGGUUAAUCAGGUUCUACAGCAUGUGCAGAACUAUGGCAGCGAUGGCUUAAGAAAAAGAGUAGUGCAGUCUAUUGCUCUUCUCACGCUGUGGAUAAUUUGGACAUGCCGUAACGAAAAAAUAUUUAAGCCAUUCUGAGAAACGUCGUGGAAGAUAUAAAAGACAAUAGCUUCUGGUGGGUGAAGAAAAGAUCAAACAUAUAUGGCUGGGCUGAAUGAAGAGAACUGGAGCUAAUUCGAGUUGGAUAAUGUUCGGUCUUGAGUUUUGGUUUCGUUUAUUUCUCUGUUGCUUCUGUUUUCUUUUCUUUUUUUUUUUUUUGUGGUUUAAUAUAGUUCCUCUUUGGCCGGCCAAAAGAAAAAUAUAGGGGGAGCCUUUUGGAUGAUCAUAAUGAUGUCUAUUAUUAUUAGCUUUAGACUUUAGAUUUCAUCGACUCUUUGGUGCUGGCAUGGGAAAGUGUAAGUUGAUAGAUAACAAAAUGCUCAAGUGCUGUGAUGACUGUCAUUAAU